rnacentral:rRNA from 1 species
GACGAACGCUGGCGGCGUGCUUAACACAUGCAAGUCGAGCGGUAAGGCCCUUUCGGGGGUACGACGAGCGGCGAACGGGUGAGUAACACGUGGGUGACCUCGCCCUCCAGCUCUGGGAGUAAGCCUGGGAAACCGGGUCUAAUACCGGAUAUGACUCCAUGACGCAUGUUGUGGGGUGGAAAGCCUUGUGCGGCUGAGGAUGGGCCCGCGGCCUAUCAGCUUGUUGGUGGGGUGAGGCCUACCAAGGCGACGACGGGUAGCCGGCCUGAGAGGGCGACCGGCCACACUGGGACUGAGACACGGCCCAGACUCCUACGGGAGGCAGCAGUGGGGAAUCUUGCGCAAUGGGCGAAAGCCUGACGCAGCGACGCCGCGUGAGGGAUGACGGCCU